rnacentral:misc_RNA from 1 species
UCCUCCUUACAGAGGCAGUUUUCUCCGAAAGCCGUAUCUCUACGGUUGUCAACGGAUGUCAAAUCCAGGUAAGGUUCUUCGCGUUGCUUCGAAUUAAACCACAUGAUCCACCGCUUGUGCGGGCCCCCGUCAAUUCCUUUGAGUUUUAGUCUUGCGACCGUACUUCCCAGGCGGGAUACUUAUUGCGUUAGCUCCGGCUCAGCGGGGGUCAAGACCCACUAAGCCUAGUAUCCAUCGUUUACAGCGUGGACUAC